rnacentral:rRNA from 1 species
AUGCUCCCUAAGUCUAAGGGGGGCAUGGGGUUUAGAGACACGCGAACCUUCAACCAGGCUCUGUUAGCAAAGCAAGCCUGGCGUCUAUUGGAUAGACCGGAUAGCCUGUGUGCUCGGCUACUGAGGGCUAAAUAUUACCCACGAGGAAAUUUAUUGGACACUGUCUUUUCCACGAACUCGUCUGCGGUCUGGAAAGGGAUUGUUCAUGGCUUAGAGCUUCUGAAAAGAGGUAUUAUAUGGCGAGUCGGGGAUGAUACUUUGAUCAAAACAUGGAGGGAUGCUUGGAUCCCGAGGAGGCAUGACUUCCGGUCUGUCACACCAAAAAGAAAUUGCCGUUUCAAUUGGGUAGCUGACUUUCUGGAUGAUCAUGGUGCGUGGAAUGUUCAGAGACUACGUGAGCAUUUCUGGGAUUUGGAUGUACGUGAGAUUUUGAAGAUCCGCACCUCACCGAGAAACGGCCAGGACUUUCUUGCGUGGUAUCCGGAGAGGAGCGGACAGUUUUCGGUUAAGAGUGCUUACCACCUGGCAACUGAUGGUCAGUUGUCAUUAAGCUUGGGCUCAUCUAGCACUAAUCCGUCGGGCCAGAGACCUAUGUGGCAGCGGAUUUGGAGUGCCCAGGUUCCGCUAAAAAUGAGGAUUAUGGCUUGA